AACAGCACAGACACAGAGAAGGGGAGGAGAGAUAAGGGGGGGAGUGGUGAACAAAAAAAAAAAAAAAGCAGGCCAUGUACAACACAACCACACUCCUCUCUCUCUCUCUCUCUUUCUCUCUCUCUCGCUCUGUGUCAGAGGCAGGAAGUUGGCAGCAGUGCUCAGGCUGCAUCAUUAAUAGACAUAUUGCAACAUGAGUGGGAGGUAGAGCGAGAGAGAGCGGUGAAAUAGGAAGAAAGAGCCUCGGCGGUGUGUGUGUGUGUGUGUGAGAGAGAGAGAGACUAGAGCAGGGAACGGAGAAUGCAAGAGGGAGGCAAUUAGGGCAAAAGAGAGGAAAAAAAGAGAGGGGGGGGGGGGGGAAAUGCAAAAGACGUGAGUGCAUGUGUGGCAGUGAUGCAUCGUCUAUUUUUUGCCCUGUGCUGCUGUGGGAGAUAAACACACUCAGUGUGGAGCCCAGAGGCAGAGGAGAGAGAGAGAGAGCACCGGUGUUAAUCACUACAGACAGGAUCGAUUAAAAAUGCAAAGGCCUCCUGGAGCGCAGGGACACUGGAGACCCACGGGAGGCGAGGAGGACGUGUGAAGGCCCGACAAAGCUGCAGAUUCUCCCACCUGAGCUAUGGGCGUCUGCAGCUCUUCCAAAGUAACCGUGCGGCCUCCUGGAUGGCCGACCUGUCAGCUUGCUCCGUUUGAGGGCACCUUCAAAGUUCACCAUCACAUGUAGCUUGGACUAAAUGAUGAGAACGCUGCUGGAGAACGUGGGAAGAGCUGGCGAGAGGCUGCGGGCGAGCCGUUGUUUCCACUCAGCAGAGAUUCUGCUGAAUGGAGAACACCCUGACAGACAGAGUGGUGAACCGCGCUGAGACCACAGAGCUCACGCUCGUCUGCUUUGAGGCUGCCGUGUCGUUUGCUUUGCCUCUAAUCCAUUUUCACUUGUGGGACUCGGGGGUUUGCCAAAAGCUUUUCCAAGACACGCAGUACAAGUGGUAAUGAGGAAUUCAUCUACUCCUCUUUUGUUUUUUUACUCUGUUUAAUCUCUUUUUUCUCAUCAUUAGCUGUUUUCUCAUUACAAUUUGUCCUUUUUUAUGGCAUAACAGCAAAAAGAACACCAGCGCUCUUUAUUUUUAACAUCCUAGGGGGCUCGGAGAGGAACGGAUUUGUUUUAUCACUUGAUUUUUGAUGUAGUCCUUUGUGCAACUUUCAUUUAAUACUAGGC